rnacentral:rRNA from 1 species
CCCUGGCUCAGGACGAACGCUGGCGGCGUGCCUAAUACAUGCAAGUCGAGCGGAGUUGAUGAGGUGCUUGCACCUCUGAUACUUAGCGGCGGACGGGUGAGUAACACGUGGGUAACCUGCCUAUAAGACUGGGAUAACAUUCGGAAACGAAUGCUAAUACCGGAUACGCGAUUUGGUCGCAUGAUCGAAUCGGGAAAGAUGGAGCAAUCUAUCACUUAUAGAUGGACCCGCGGCGCAUUAGCUAGUUGGUGAGGUAACGGCUCACCAAGGCGACGAUGCGUAGCCGACCUGAGAGGGUGAUCGGCCACACUGGGACUGAGACACGGCCCAGACUCCUACGGGAGGCAGCAGUAGGGAAUCUUCCGCAAUGGACGAAAGUCUGACGGAGCAACGCCGCGUGAGUGAUGAAGGUUUUCGGAUCGUAAAGCUCUGUUGCCAGGGAAGAAUGCUUGGGAGAGUAACUGCUCCCAAGGUGACGGUACCGAGAAGAAAG